rnacentral:lncRNA from 1 species
ACCAUGCGCAUAACCCAAUGUGCAUGCUGAGGAGGCCUCACGCCAGUUUAGGCUCUCCAGUAUCUCCCACUGAGCUACUCUGUCCCCGACUUAGAGGACCAGGAGAAGGGGGAGCUGGAGGCUGGAGCCUGCCACACCGUGGCUCGUCUCACUCUGGAUGGUGGUGGCAACAGAGAUGGCAGUGUGGCUGGAGUUUUAGGAGGGCGGCCUGAGCCGUAGGAGGGGGCUGGAGCAGUAACAUGGCGGCCUGAGCGUGAGCCCUGGGCACUGUGGUGUCUCCAGUCCCCACCCCAGGUCAGGAGGCCAGCUUGGUCUAGGAGGAGAGGCUGGACUUUGGAGGGUUUUUCUGGCAUUGUCUGCCCAGCUGCUCCAAGCCAGGCUGAUGAAGGAGGAGUCCCCUGUGGUGAGCUGGAGGUUGUAGCCUGAAGAUGGCACAGCUCUGUGAUUCAUCUCCUGCGGUUGUGGCGGCCACGGUGAUGGAGACUGCAGCUCAACAGGAGUGGUAGGAGGGUACCCGUGGAGGCCAAGUAGUAGGAGCCUUGGAGGGUGGGUAGGUGCAUGGAGGGUGACAGCAGCGCUGGUUCCGUUGGCGUCGGCGCUAAUGGUGGCAGCAGCAGCAAGUCUAGGGGCCAGGAAGGGGGAGUAGGAGAGCUCUGGGGCCCGGCCCGGCCUGGGGUGGGUAAGAAGCUGCCGGUUCUGUACCGCAGGCCUCAGUGACAGUGGUGGACCAGGGCAAGGAGGAGUCCUCCCCCUUCUCCUGCGGUCUCUGGAGGGUGCCCUCCUUCUGCUGGCGUCUGAGCCAGGUGUGAGUGGCAGCAUUGUUUCAUUCUUAACAGAAUUUAGGGGCUUACUAUUUGUGUAUCUUUUUGUUUUUGGUUGUGGUAACCCUUAAGGGACAAAAGGCUUCUUUGGCUGGGUUUUGGUGUGGUGGGAUCCCUCCAUGUAAGACAAAGGGUGCUUCCCUGGCAAGCUGUGUGUUAGAGGGAGUUCACGAAGGGGAAGAAAGGGAACCUCCCAGGAGGGUGGCUGCUGUGGCAGGUCCCCUGCCUCUGGGCACCCUUUGGGCCACCUAGUUUCCCCUGUGGAAGAGGG